rnacentral:misc_RNA from 1 species
CAGUGGUAAGAGCACUCUGCAGG